UCCAAUUUUCUGACGCCUCCAUAGUGCCCCUGGCAGCUCUCACUUUGAAAACCUCUACAUAACAGUCCUGGAUGUAGCUAGUCCAAUGACUGCUGGGAUUUGCAUUGGGUGAGAAGUCACAAGAUAAUGUGACUUAAAAACAUACAUAUAUUUUAAUGUUUAUAUUGCACUACGGCAAUACAUGAAGUGGGGUAUCUGCUCUUGUAGUAAGUAGCUAGCUGCCAGAUGAGUUGGAGGUGUAAGUGCAGGUGUACGACCAUGGCCACUAGCUCCGAUAAGUUGCCCAGUGUAUCAGCCAGGAUAAGUUGCCCAGUGUAAGUGGCAGAUUAGGGCAACCUCAAUUCUUUUUAUCUCUCCAGACAUGCAUUAGACUUUCUAAUAUGGCUCCAGACUGAGCAGACAAUCUCAUUUUAUAAAUGCUCUGCUGAAUGACCCGCCAGUCGCUACGGCGACGCCUACAUCUUCACCAUUUCUUUUUCAUUCCAGGGGGAUAAUUAAGAGUCAGGGACUAGCGGUGCUCGUGAUGGACGCGUGGGUGCAUGUUCGGAGGCUUACCACCUAUCGGCAUCACUAAAAGAGUUGGCUCAGAGCUAUGCUCAGGAGAUGAACAGCUUGACGGCGAUUGCCCCAGUCGUAGUCAAGUGGGUGGGAUCUUCAUGCCCGGAGAUUUCAGGAUAACAGUCAAAGCUGCUACUCUUCUUAUUGCAGUCGGACCAAUUCUUACCUCAAUAUGACCCUGGUCCCAGGAGACAAGUGAGAUUCAGAACACAGCGGAAAAAAAGUGGCACAGAUGGCAUGACUUCUCCCUGCCCUGCUACUUAUAUACAAUUUAAUAACAAGACAAGGCAACUCCAUUUCUGCUACAUCAUCUCUGCCAUCACGCCACUCCUGUAAUCUCAGCUAAUGCAGGCGGAUGUCAUUGCAGGAGAAGGUUGGACUCUGUCAGACAGUGUGAUAAAGGAUUAAUGACGCAGCGGCAAAACAAACACAUAAUAUCACGAUGUUACCAGAUGAAAAAUGUAUUAUAACCUUAAAAUAAAAAUGGACCUAAAAAAGCCCCACUUGUCUGUAUCAGAAAACAAGUCUAAACACUGUCACCAACGCUACCAGUAGUCAAGACUGAAAUCAACUUCAAGAACAGGAAGGUAGGAAAGGUGUUGUUGGUUUGAUGCAAACUGUGACUUAACCAUGAGUCACAGUUCACG